rnacentral:misc_RNA from 1 species
UGUCCCUGACGAACCUGGAAGCACUGAAGAGUUCGCCCGACUUAACGUUCGAGGCAAAAUGGCCGCCCCCAGAAAGCACGGAUAUCCAUCAGUGAAAGUGGCAGAAAUUACCGUACAGGACGAUUCGUCGGACAGUGAUGCCGAAACUGAACCAGCUAAAGUUUUCCACAGACGCAUAUCAACUAACCGAGCUAUAAAAUCGUCUACAUGCACCAAAGAAGGUUACCUCAUGAAGCAGACCAGCUCCUUCCAGCGCUGGAAGCGACGGUAUUUCAAGCUGCAGGGAAGAAGACUCUACUAUGCAAAGGAUACCAAGUCUCUGAUUUUUGAUGAGAUCGACCUGACAAACCUCAGUGUGGCCGAAUGCAGCACCAAAAACAUCAACCACAGCUUCCAGGUUAUAACCCCCUUCAGAAACCUCAUCUUGUGCAGUGAUUCUCGCAGGGAAAUGGAGGAGUGGAUUAGUGCUUUAAAAAUGGCUGCCAACAAAGAAUAUUACGAGAUGGAGGUCAACAGAUGUCUUUUUGAGCAGGGUACUACUAGUCACACAGAGAUGAUGUCAGGGCAACACAACUGGUACGCCUGUUCCCACGCACGCCCUACGUACUGCAACGUGUGUCGGGAGGCUCUCUCCGGGGUCACGUCACACGGCCUGUCCUGUGAAGUUUGUAAAUUCAAGGCUCAUAAGCGAUGUGCAGUCCGUGCUCCGACAGACUGCAAGUGGACAUCACUGUCAUCCAUCGGCAAAGACAUCAUCGAGGAGGAGGAGGAGGGAAUCUCAUUACCACACCAGUGGCUGGAAGGCAACCUACCUGUCAGUGCUAAAUGCAAUGUCUGUGAUAAAACCUGCGGCAGCGUUCUCCGUCUCCAAGACUGGCGCUGCCUCUGGUGUCGAGCUAUGGUGCAUACGACAUGUAAAGAACAAUUCUAUAGGAAAUGCCCCCUUGGUCAAUGCCGCUUGUCUGUGCUACCUCCCAUCGCUAUUAACAGCAUUGACUCGGACGGCUACUGGGAGGCGACCCGACCCCCGGGGACCAGCCCGCUACUGGUGUACGUCAACACCAAAAGUGGGGACAAUCAGGGAGUAAAAUUUUUACGAAGAUUUAAGCAGCUGUUGAAUCCUGCUCAGGUGUUUGAUCUCAUGAAUGGCGGCCCCUACCCAGGGCUACGAUUAUUCCAAAAAUUUGAUUCCUUCCGUAUUCUCAUCUGUGGGGGCGAUGGCAGUAUUGGAUGGGUGCUUUCUGAGAUUGACAAACUAGAUCUACAUCGACAGUGCCAAAUAGGGGUGCUACCGUUCGGGACGGGGAAUGACUUGGCGCGGGUCCUAGGGUGGGGGGCAGCGUUCGACGACGACACACAACUUCCAGCUGCACUGGAGAAACUGGAGCAUGCUCAGAUCAAAAUGUUGGAUCGCUGGAGUAUAUGGACGUACGAGGGCACCAUGCCGCCUCCUAGAAAACUGUCUCAACAGACUGAUCCCAUCUCCCAGUAUGAGGACUCCGUCGCUGCCCAUCUGUCCAAAAUACUUCAUUCCGAAGAUCAUCAGGUUGUGAUAUCCUCUGCCAAAGUUUUAUGUGAAACUGUCAAAGAUUUUGUAGCCAAAGUGGGAGAUUCUCAUGAGGAGGAGCCUGAGAAGGAAGAGCCCGAGGGAGAGUCUAUUGCCAUGAAGUGUGCUGUGUUAAAUGAGAAACUAGAAGGGUUGUUGAAGACUCUCAACCAUGAAUCGAAGGCUUCAACAGAGGAGCCGGAGGAGGAGAUUGUGGAGGAGCCUGUGAUUGGCUCCCCGGAGAGAGACAUAGUCCCAGGGGAGAUAACUGGCCCCAUCAAAGUCAGAUCUGCUAUAUUCCGACCCCGAGAUGCCUUGAUGUCACGAGCCAACAGCUUGAAGAAAGCGGUGCGGCAGAUCAUAGAACACACAGAGAAAGCUGUUGAUGAACAAAAUGAGCAGACGCGGCAGAUGAUGCUUGAAACAGGGGCAGAUAAUCGGGACGUAGAGAACGCUGGCAUGACAGACGGGACGACAUCUCGGUCGGCUCCAAGCUUCUCAAUAUUCACAAUGGAGCCACCGCCUCCUCCUCCUCCACCGGCUCCAAUUUGGAUGGAUGGGUCUCGCUCUCCUAGAGGUCCGUCGUCACGUAGGAUCAGCAGUAUGAGUACGUUCAACCGCUCCGCCAGCGUGGGCUCCAACCUCUGCACCAACAGGGACACCCUGCAUGUGCCCCCCACGCCCGGACUGCCCACAUUUGACCAUCACCACAUGAUGCUGCCUGGGAUGAGCAGCAGUCUGGCCAAGACUCUGGGUGGAGGCAGCUUCAUCAGCAAGGUGCUUCUCGCCAAUGCCGAUGCCCUCUGUGCAGCAGCAUCACCGCUAUUAGAAGAAGAUAUCCCAGAGCUGUACACAGAGAGAUGUGUUAUGAACAACUACUUUGGUAUUGGCCUCGACGCCAAGAUCAAUCUAGAGUUCCAGAUGAAGCGGGAUGAGCAUCCCGAGAAGUGUAGGAGUAGGACGAAGAAUCUGAUGUGGUACGGAGUCCUGGCCAGCAAGGAGAUACUGCAUCGCACCUUCAAGAACCUGGACCAGAGAGUCCUCCUGGAGUGUGAUGGACAGAGAAUUCCCCUGCCUAGUCUUAAGGGGAUCGUCAUUCUAAACAUUCCAAGUUAUGGUGGAGGGGCAAAUUUCUGGGGUGGUACCAAAGAAGAUACAAAUUUCACUGCGCCAAGUUUCGAUGACAAGAUUCUGGAAGUGGUAGCUGUGUUCGGGGGAGUGCAGAUGGCGGUGUCAAGGGUCAUCGACAUUCAGCAUCAUCGAAUCUGUCAGUGUCGGACUGUGAAGAUCACCAUCCUGGGGGACGAGGGGGUACCUGUGCAGGUGGAUGGGGAGGCAUGGACCCAACCCCCGGGCUUCAUCCGCAUCGUGCACAAGAACCGCGCACAGAUGCUGACCAGAGACAGGACUUUCGAGAAUGUGUUAAAAUCGUGGUCUGAGAAGCAGAAGACGGAUCGAUCAGUCAGUCCACAACCAGCACCCUUGUCGGAAGAUGAGGCUCACAUAUUACUGAAUUUCGUGGAGGCAGCAGCAUCGCUCAUUCGAUGUGUGAAAGUAGCUGCCCGAAGUCAUAGUACAAUAGAACAAGAGUUAUUUCCCCUUGCUCAACAAGCCUCUUCCUGUCUGGAUCGUCUGUACCCAUCAGGAAAACUUCCUGAGCUUGAGUCUUCGGAGUCUGAGACCUACCAGCCCACACUGCGGAGUCAAGUGUCCGACCUGCUACACAGUGUGAAACUCCUCUACAACGAAGCAAGCCUCUUCCUCUCUGACAAGGCACCAGCCAUGUCCAAUGUUCACCUGUGGCACGACAUCGAGGAGAAGCUGAGCAUGUGCCUGGCGACCCUUGAGGAAGAGAUGAGGAAGGUGGCCAACAUCAGCGGUGUGGGCCAGUACACACAGACACCAGAGGAAGGUUUGAAGUUCGAGGCUGGACCCCCGAGGAAGUUGGUGUCUGGCUGGAGAAACUCUCACUAGGGGACUACCGCGAGGCCUUCAUCAGCCACGAGAUCCGCGGGUCAGAGCUCCUCAACUUGGAGCGCAGAGAUCUCAAGGACCUCGGGGUGACGAAGGUGGGACACUUGAAGAGAAUCCAGCAGGGCAUCAAGGAGCUGCUGAACAGGGAGCUGGCGCUGGAACGAGCCGAGAAGGCCAGCUCCUGACAUUUAGCUGCCGUUGCUGCCGAUGCUGCGAUGUCCUACUGACACUAACGUCGCUGCUGAAGCUGCUCUAUCGGACAGACUGCAAUGUUUAGAGUGCUCCAUCAGCACCAUCAGCAUCAGCACCUGAUGACAUGGACUGUCUGGAUGACAGGGUGUGGUGACGUCAUCAGACAGCGUCGACCGUUGGCAUGCACGAUGUUGUAUGAUAUUGUUAUGUGAUAAUCCCUGGGACCACGGCUGUUUCAGCACUUUAUUUCUAUGAACACUUCCGACAUUUAUUAUUGUUUCGUUUGUGUAAGGUGAAAGCUUAUAGAUACAACCUCAAGAGCGUGUAUAUUAUCCAGGUUUUUGAUCAUCCUUUGUUAAUAUGGCUCGGUCAUUUGCUUAUCAUGGAACAAAGGAGUUUGGGCUGGGAAAUGUUUCUCACACAUGGGAAGGUUAAACAGUGCUCUUGAAUAUUAAAUUAUUACUUUUGUAAGUUGAAAAGGUUCAUUUAAUUUUGCAAUUUGUAGUUACAGAGAUGCUGAACAUUUGAAAAAGGGUCUAUUCUUGAUUUUAAUGGAGCUCAGCUGGCCUGAAAGAGUUACUCUGUCGUGGAACUAAUCUUUUUCAUAAAAUUGGCAUCUUUGUACUAAGCUGGAAAUUCUUUCAGCGUAUUAAGCAAAGUCCCUCAUGUUUUGCUGUAUUGACAAGGCAAGAUAAAUCUGAACAUAGUGCUGUUUUAAUUUUGUUCAUGCUCAUACUUGUGUUAUUGAGGGAAUAUUGUCCGGAAUAUUCCCAACUUUUUUACCUCCCUGCAUCAUCGCUUUCACAAACCCUUCAUAAUAGGGCCAUAUAAAAAUGUUUUUUAGACGGUUAUACAACUUGCAGCUAGCCUGCUCCUCAAUGACAAUAUAUUACCGUAAUCAAAUACAUACCAUGCCUGUCCAGUAUUUAUUUACAUAUUUAUGUGUAAUUUAUCAUUUUCACACAAGAAAUGUCCAAAAGACCAUUAUGUUUUUAGAUCUACAUUUGAGGCAUUAGUUUAUGUUUUGUAUUAAUGAGAAGCAUGUUACUGGAAGUGUCAUGUUUAAGUUCAAAUAUUUGUUGCAGAGAAUUUUGGUGAGUGUGAAAAAUGUGUCACUUUCUAUAUGUUCUAAAUGGCUUUAACUUAUUUAUUCUGCCAAGAUACAAAUGGUUUCAAACAGGAAUAUUCAUCUUAUAUUUGUAAGAUAGUAUUGAAUGUAUCUUUCAUUCCUAUUUUGUAUAUUUUGCAUUGUUUAGGUAUAGCCAGAAUUUCGUAUUGUACAGCAGGUCUGUAUUAAAGUCUCUGUAUGACCAAAGAGCCAUUGCAGGGCCCUGUUCUACAAAUUGAUCUUAGCGCUAAGACAGUCGUAACUAGUGCUAAGAUCUCUUUGGGGAACAGGGCCUUCGACCUUAUUCCAUAAAUGAUCUGAGUACCUCAAAGAUCGUAUGUCUAUAUUAAGGUAUGUUCGUUUUUUGGUCUUAGCGCUAUGAUGAUCAUACAUUUAUGUUGAGGUAUUGGUGUUACGAUCGUCUUAGUACUAUGAUUAUUGUAUGUCUUUUUCAAGGUAUGAGAGUUGCAAUCGUCUUAGCGCUAAGAUCGCUGUGCAGAUUGUGAGACACAGCUCCAACGAGUAUAUGCUUGUGUUCAGGUGUGGGAGUUGUGAUCGUCUUAGCGCUAAGAUCGCUGUGCAGAUUGUGAGACACAGCUCCAACGAGUAUAUGCUUGUGUUCAGGUGUGGGAGUUGUGAUCGUCUUAGCGCUAAGAUCGCUGUAUGGAACGAGGCCCUGGGAUGGAUGUGUUCCUGGCUGGUGUGACUCACAUGUAGUAACCAGCAUUGUAGUCAUCAAUGAUAAUCAUUGUCUCAUUCAUUGUCUCAUUCAGUUGGGACCCGUGAAGAUCGGGGGAAGAACAGGUCUUCAGUAACCCAUGCUUGCCGUAAAAGGUGACUAUGCUUGUCGUAAGAGGCGACUAACAGGAUCGGGUGGUCAGGGUCGCUGACUUGGUUGAUGCAUGUCAUCGUAUCCCAAUUGUGUGGAUCUAUGCUCAUGCUGUCACUCACUGGAUUGUCUGGUCCAGACUCGAUUAGUUACAACCGUCGUCAUAUAGCUGGAAUAUUGCUGAGUGCGGCUUUAAACAACACACAAACGAAUCACUCAGUUGGACAUUGUUGCCUCCAGUUUAUAAGCUCAGUUGACAGUGGUUUUAAAAGAUUUGAAAAACACAGGUUAUGUAGAAUAGAAUAGGAACAUUGAAAAUUCAAACACUGACAAAUUUUAGUGUCAAUCAAGAAUGGUCAGAUUUAUUUGUUAUAAUAUCUGACCUUGUUAAUUUUUCUGCCAUAAUUCUGAUGCUGAAACGAUACACUGAAAUCACAGAUAAAUUCUUUGUAUAAUCCAAAGUUAUUGUUAUUUUAAAUGAAUACACGAUCAAAUCGAAUAGUCACAUGCUAGAGCUGAAGUGUUGAUCAGUACCAAUUUAAAGAUGCCCCAAUGUCAAUAUCAAAUGAUACAUAUUUGCACAGAGAAGCAUAUUGUAUACCAUGACGGAAAAAGAGCAACGUAAAAAAACCGGGUGUUUUGUGUAGUCCAUACUGUAAAAUUAGUAUCUCAGUGGAUCGUUUCAACCUUACAAAAUUCUCCUUAUCCAAAUGUUUACUGAGAAUGGAGUCCCCAGUGCCGGGAGGUGCUGUCAUGUUCUCGUGCAUCCCCUAGGGCAGGCCUCGACUACCCACGUGGCCGAGAUAGCAUUCUUUACUAGUUUUCUUUUUUGUGGCGUUUUUUUCACAAUGCAACAAAUCCUUUUAUGUACCACAAGAUGUCCUAGGCUCUACAUGGGAUUUCUAGAUUUGACACUGGAUGUGUCCCUUAUCUAGACAGAUGUUCCAGUUUUUAGAUUCAACGGUUUCAAGUUCUAGAUUUCAACAUGUUCCAUUUUUCUAGAGUUGAUAUGUUGAUAUGCCAAUUUUGUAGCAAGAAUGUUCGAUAUGUAGACAGUGAUUUAGGUAUGUUGUUUUCUGACUGAGCACUCGGAUUGUGGAACAUUGGCUACUACGUGUUUAUUACUUGUUUUCAAGACGGUGCAAGCUGUGUGGGUCCCUCCUCCAUAGAAUAGUGUUUUGUAAUUAUGACUGUGGUUAUGUUUGUUGUAUAGUUCCCAUAUUGGAUGUUGACAGUUGUUGGUGUAUUGACAGCCUGUAUUGGCUGUAUCCGUUGUACUUGUUACAUUUUCAUGUCAAGUCUUUGAGUCUCCGAGGACUCGUCACAUGAUAGCGUUUUCAAAAUUUUGUAUAUAUUUUCCACAUUUUGUACCUUCGAAUACCGUCAUAUCCUAAUGGUGACUUUUUGUGCAAACACAUACCUUUUCUAUAUUGCCGAUAUUUGAUACUAUCUUGCUUAUGUUUUUUAUACAAGCGACAGUUAAAAAGAUGUGGUGAUGUAUGAAGUUGAAUGAUGUUUUUGUUUUAGCAUUUGAACCAUUUUGAGAUUUAUUUUUUAUAAAGUGAUUUCAUGAAUGUCUAUAUUAUUUACUGAAUAUAUUUUUGUUAAAUAAAUAGCACCAUCUUCUUGUCAGAGAAUACUAUUAGGCAGUUAUUACAAUUAAGAUUCUCUGUUUGGAGGGGCCAGAACUCAAGUAAUUGCAGGUCAAGGGACAUAACUCUUAUCAUGUUUUCACAGACAUUUUUUUUAAUGAAACUGAAUAUUGACAUUUUUAUCGCAUAAUUGAUAAAUUGUUUAACAUCAAAAAAUUAUUUUUUCUAAGAACUGUAUCUGGAUAAAAAAUGUCAUAAUUUUGCUUGCCAACACAAAGAGCAAAUUUUUACAUCAGGGCAUUACAUCAGUGAUCUCGAGGGAUCCAGUACAUUGAUUUAUAGACCUUGCUGUGUUUAAGUAUUUUGGGGGAUUUGGUGAACAAUUAAAACAAUAUGAAUAUUUACUAUGAAAACAUCAUUCAACUUCAGCCAGUAGUCAGGAUUCGAUGUGAAGACAAUGUUUGAUGGGACAGAGGAAAGCAAGGAUUCAAAUGGCACGUUUAUUUAUUACAAACCAGUUUAUUUUCCAGAGCUGUCUCGGUAAAUUGUCAAUAAUGCAUUGAAAGUAUUUUUACUAUCACUGUGAAAGAUACUGACAGUAAGAUAAACAAUUAUCAUCUGGUACCGAAAGGCCCUGUUACUAUGUCAGUGUCUCGAUAAGAAAUGAUUUGACACUUUAUCGAAACGGUUUUGUUUGGUGAACUGGCAUUUUGUUCACUAUAGCCCAUAAUGGGCAUCACAUGUAUAUAUUUUCUGACGUAUAGAAUUCUAUUUUUGCAUGGCUUGAAUCUGAAUCUGUUGAACUUGAUCUACUUGAGGAGGCAGUAUUGCAGAAGCUUGCUAGGAAUUGACUUUUGUGUGAAGAUUUAAACCCAGAUUUAUGCCUAAUAUUCUCACUGCUUGAAGUGUUGAGUUUUUUAAAGAUUAUGGAGAUGUUUUGAUUUUUGCCACAGUAAAUUAUUCCAUCAGGGACAGGGCCCACCACCCACAAGUGUUUGUAGCGCUACGAGAAUCAGAAGUGGAACUAUGGAGAUACGACAUUUGUAGUGCUACAAAUGUUUUGUCGAGGCCAAGGAUAAGAAAUAUUGUUUUGGACAUUUCAAGUGCCCUGCUCUCAAGUGCCUCACAUAUUUUGAUAACGGAAUUUCCUUAACUACCAUAUCCCGUGUCUCCUGCCAGUUUGUCUGUACAGUCUACCAGUGACUGAAGACCAUCAACAUCAACCAUGAUAGAAGUAUUUGAAGCCUUUCGCUCACUGACUGAACGAUUGCUUCUUUAUACAUGUGUAUAAUUUAUAGAACCUGAAAUUGCAUUUUUAUGCCUUUGCCUAGUGAUAAAAAAUAAUUUAGCAAAAUAAUCAAAAGAUGGGUUAGGCUAUUGAAUGAAUUUCAAUUUCCGAUCAAGGUUUCCCUAAGUGAUACUGUCUUCUUGAUCCUUGAGAAUCAACACUCUUCUUGUCCUUGGCACCAAGGACAAACUGGUCCUAGCAUUCCGCUCACAGUCCCAGGAAGCUGCAGUGGGGACUAACCCCGUGGCACAAGGUAGAGUUAACAUACUAAAAUUCUAACAUUGUCAUAGUGGGGAUUUUCCUGUAGAGGUGUGGCUUGAAGUGAACUCAUUCUGAAAACUGUUGUGUCAGUUAUUUGGGAGUUCAGGGUCAAAUAGCUCUUUUAUGGGGUGUAGUUUUUCCUUGGCUGCUUCCUGGAGACUGAAGAAGAUGCAGGAACAUGUUGUCCGUGGUGACGAAGAUUAUCUCUUCUGUGAUAUCACCUUGUGACACAUCCAUGAUGCAUCAGUGUUCCCAUGGUAACUAGUGUUUCCUCUGCUUCCAUAUUGUCUGCAAAUGUUGUAUUUUAUACUGCCCAUGUCAAAAUGUUCUGUGUUAAACGGCUUCACAUUAGGACUUUUCACCAGCUUUAGAUAUGUUAGAAAUCAUCCCCUCCUGCAAUAUUUUUGAAAUCAUGUACAACUUAUUACUCUUAAAGAGAGAUCUUUUCUAAUAAUUUCAAAGCAAACAGUGUUUAAAUUUAAUAUUUACCAACCUUUAGGUAAUGGUACUAGAGAUUUAAAAAAAAUUGUAAUGAAAAGAAAUCUCAUACACUCCUAGAGAAAUUAUAAAAUGCAGGUUUAGGUCUUAUAAUUUUAGGCCCUGCUAAAGAAAAUGGUAUUUUACUUCAGAAAAAUAGCUUCAAACUUCUUCGUGUUUGUGUGCCUUACAGUAUACAUCUUUCACUGUAGAUGGUGGUGUACAGAUCUUAUUUGUCCAUGCUUUGGGCCCCAGGUGUGCACCAUUGGCCCCGAACAUGGACAAAUGUUAUACUGGCAACUCACUUUAGUCAGCUCUUCAUCGUCACACUGUAACAUUUCAUAUCAACUUUUUCUAAUGUCUUUUAUAUUUUUAUAUUCUUUUAGCGGACACAUAUUGUUUCAUAUGCUUGAUGAAACUCCAUGUCGAUGUUCACAAGAUACAAUCAACAAAAUGAAAAAUAUGUACUUGUUCACACUUACGAGGUUCUCCCCCCCCACACACACACACACACCAUCCCAAAUUUUGGACACUUGUUUCUUUUUGUGAAUGUUUUUUUUGUUAUUGCUGUGAAAUUCUAGUAACUAUCUACCUACCAACGAAUGUAUUACCAACACUCUGUGACUUAAUCUUCCAAAAUUGGGGAGAAACAACUUUCUUGGCUAAGAUUCUAGAAACCAUGAGGAUAAAUGUUGUGAUUUUAGGAAAUGUUAGCCAAAAAGAGUUGUCUCCCUUUGAGGACUUCUUACAUUCCAAUUGCUGUGCCUCCAUUGAAUUGAUUUCAGAGGGAUGAGUGGACAAGGGACUAUUCGCUUCCUCAGGAAUUUGAAGUCUCAUUGUACAUCGUGUCUGUCAGACAAAUCUGUUCAACACAAUUCUCCUCACAACUAGGGUAAUUUUUUUUUUGCAGUGUUUUGGAAAAUGUCUGCAGCUAAACUCUGGUGGGGAGUGCAUAUCUGUAUUCGUCACAUCCAGAGCAUAAAUAAUGUAAGAGUAACGUGUUAUUUUACUUAUCCUGACCAGGAAAGUAUGUGUAUAAAUCAAAUAUUACUUGGAGCACAAUUGCCAAUAUAACCUUUACAGAUAUUUUUUCUUAUCUCAAUUUUUCUUCCUAGUGUCUGCGUGAAACUUACAUGUGAUAGGUACAACUUCUUAUUUUUGAAAGAAAACAAUAAAGUGAAAAUCCCUUAUCACAAAAA